GAAUCAGAGCGUGGAGCCAUUAACCUGGCAGAUUUCGAAUUAUAUCUUCAUCAACCUGUUCGUGAUGACUUAUUUCCUGAGGCUUUGGUCCAAGCAAAAAUGAAUUCACUGAUGGCGUUAAUUCAGCCCGAGAACCAAGUUGAAUUUAUGGCUGACCACCUGUGGCAGCCUCAGCCCGCACCAGGAUCACAAGAUCAUUGCUUCCCCUCCAACAUACAUCAGCUUACGAAUAUUGAGGGUCCAUCUGCUAUGGACCUAUCAUUAGACAACCUUCUUACUGAUGAAUCUGUUCAAUUAACGUUUGGAACAAGUGAAGAGGAUGAAGAUGUUGGUGACAUGCAAAAUGCAGAUCUUGCUUAUGUCGACUUCUUCAACAGAGACAUGCAAACAGAGGAAUCGUCAAUCAAAAUUACCCUCCGGGAUUCGGAGUUGAAACCGUGACCGGAAGACUCGUCAAUCAUUACUUGAAGCUGAAAGAGCAACCUAUGCCUCGGUACCCCGAUCACUCCUGACUCCUGAUUGGGACAUACGGGCAAGGGCCAUGCUCUCCUAUCACCUAAAUGUCAAUCUUCUUUAGUACAGUUCAGGAGGCCAGAGUAAUUGUUCUUGGCCUUCUGGAGGUGUACAGGAUGAGAAGGCUGAUAAUUCAGACAUUCCUAGUGGAUUCAGCUACCUCAUCCGAAGGCAGGUUAGGCCUACUUCAUCCGAAGGCAGGUUAAGAAGGCCAUAUUGCUUAUAAAAUCAAUGCAAUCCAAGUGACCGAAGACACUUGUGAAGCCAUAUUAGACUCAGAUCCUACAUGCUUAUUGUGGAUUCACAAUAAGCUGUGCAUCAGAAGUAAAAUCUUGUAUUUUAUUUUACUCUUUUAUUCCAUCUCAAUGUGAGAACAUUGAUAGCUCGAAGACUGUUCAACCCAAAUUACAGUACUUCUCCAACUCAGUAAAAAUGAUGCAUUCGGGUAUCUGCGGCAGAUUGAUGUUUUGCCUACAAUAUGCCUUAUUUCCUACUAUGAGCUUAUGACCGCACACAAGCAUCUCAGAGUUCUCAACAUCAGUAAAUGAAGACCCUGGCGCAAAGGAAAUACUGGAGAAAAUAAUUGAGAUACAAUCUUCUAGUUUUAAGAUCACAGCGUUCCACAGGCAUGGUCGUUAAAUAAUUGAGAUUCAAUCUUGUGUCUCUCUUUUUUUUUUUUUUUUUCUUUGCCCUCUGUAAACUCCACAACAGAAUCCGCCAGGUUAACAUUCUAGCACGGU